rnacentral:tRNA from 1 species
GGAGGCGUGGCGUGGGCGCCAGCAGCGCCUGCGUCGCUACAACGAGGAGGUGCUGCCGCGCAUCGAGGCGCUGGCCUCGCGCUUCGAC